rnacentral:rRNA from 1 species
GAUGAACGCUAGCGGCAGGCCUAAUACAUGCAAGCUGAACGGUAAGCUUUGUAGCAAUACGGAGCCUAGAGUAGCGUAAGGGUGCGUAACACGUAUGCAAUCUGCCCACAACAGGAGGAUAGCUCUUCGAAAGAGGAAUUAAGACUCCAUAAGAUCACUUGAGGGCAUCUGAGGGUGAUUAAACUACGGGGUUGUGGAUGAGCAUGCGCAUGAUUAGUUAGUUGGUGCGGGUAAUGGCCCACCAAGACGAUGAUCAUUAGGGGAACUGAGAGGUUGGUCCCCCACACUGGCACUGAGAUACGGGCCAGACUCCUACGGGAGGCAGCAGUAGGGAAUAUUGGACAAUGGGUGAGAGCCUGAUCCAGCCAUGCCGCGUGCAGGAAGAAAGCCUUCUGGGUUGUAAACUGCUUUUUUCAGGGGAUAAAAUACCGGUGCGCCGGGAAUUGCAAGUACCUGGAGAAUAAGCCACGGCUAACUACGUGCCAGCCGCCGCCGUAAAAC